rnacentral:rRNA from 1 species
GAUGAACGCUAGCGGCAGGCUUAAUACAUGCAAGUCGAGGGGCAGCAUGACUGUAGCAAUACAGUUGAUGGCGACCGGCAAACGGGUGCGGAACACGUACAGAACCUUCCUUCGAGCGGGGAAUAGCCCAGAGAAAUUUGGAUUAAUACCCCAUAGUCUUACAGAGUGGCAUCACUUUGUAAUUAAAGAUUUAUCACUUGAAGAUGGCUGUGCGGCUGAUUAGGUAGUUGGCGGGGUAACGGCCCACCAAGCCUGCGAUCAGUAACUGGUGUGAGAGCACGACCAGUCACACGGGCACUGAGACACGGGCCCGACUCCUACGGGAGGCAGCAGUAAGGAAUAUUGGUCAAUGGACGAAAGUCUGAACCAGCCAUGCCGCGUGGAGGAUGAAGGUCCUCUGGAUUGUAAACUUCUUUUAUAUGGGACGAAAAAGGGUCUUUCUAGAUCAACUGACGGUACCAUAUGAAUAAGCACCGGCUAACUCCGUGCCAGCCGCCGCCGUAACAC